AUAUUGCACAAUGGAGGAAACUCUGAUGCAGCGAUGCCGCGUGGAGGAAGAAGGUUUUCGGAUUGUAAACUCACGUUUCGAGGGACGAUAAUGACGGUACCUCGGGAGGAAGCUCCGGCUAACUACGUGCCAGCAGCCGCGGUAAUACGUAGGGAGCGAGCGUUGUCCGGAAUUACUGGGUGUAAAGGGAGCGCAGGCGGGAUUGCAAGUCAGGUGUGAAAUGCGGGGGCUCAACCCCUGAGCUGCACUUGAAACUGUAGUUCUUGAGUGAAGUAGAGGUAAGCGGAAUUCCUAGUGUAGCGGUGAAAUGCGUAGAUAUCAGGAGGAACAUCGGUGGCGAAGGCGGCUUACUGGGCCUUUACUGACGCUGAGGCUCGAAAGCGUGGGGAGCAAACAGG
rnacentral:rRNA from 1 species